rnacentral:snRNA from 1 species
ACAAUGGGUUUGCCGUCUGGAGAGGCGA